GUUGUUCAUUCUGCGCUUUUUUACCUUAGCUUUUCACGCCUACCUUUCACUAAUUCACUAAACAAAAAGAAAAAACACCCAUAAUCGCAAAUUCGCAAUCAAGUUCAACACCCACAAUCGCAAUCAAAUUCGCCCAAAAAACACCCAGCAAAUUCGCCCAAAAAACACCCACAAAUUCGCCUAAAAAACUGCAAUUCCUCAGCAAAUUCAACAUCCAAAAUCGCAAUCAAGUUCAACACCCAUAAUCGGCAGCAAAUCCGAGCAAUUUCGAGCGAAAAUUUAGACCAAAAACCCUAAUUAAUUCGAACCCUUAAACCCCAGAAAAAUUGAUUAUUUUCGACCAAAAAUCCCCCAUUUCGAGCAAAAAAUGUAUUCAAUUCCAUACGAAUUCGAACCCUAGAAACCCCAAAAAAUUCAAUUAAAAAUCUUGCUGAAAAAAUUCGAGCAAUAUCUGAAAUUUUCGAGUGGAAAAAUCGCUUAAUUUUGCCCCCAAAAACCCGAGGAAGUUCAAGCAAAUUACAACAAUGUUGAAUUUUUGAAUUUUCGAGUGGAAAAAUCGCUUAAUUUUCGCCCCCAAAAAUCGAUUUCGGCUCGACAUUGUUGAAUUUUUGAAGUCAAUUUCACCUAUGUGCUUUUCGAAGUUUUAAGGCAUUAAGUGGACAAUCUAGGGGAAGUAAAUUGACAUGGCAUUUGGGACAGUGUCCUCAACAAUUGGGUGGACGUGAGUGUGGCUACUACGUCAUGCGUUAUAUGUACGAAAUACUUGAACAUCACCAUAGCAGUGAAGAUCUUAUUCAGGAUUUUUCAAGAACUACACCGUACACCGAGGAGGAGAUAAAUGAGAUCCGAGAUAUUUGGGCAGAGUAUUUUAUAUGUAAUGUUGAACUUUAGAUUUACCACUUAGCGCAUGUUUGACUCUUGUUUUGGAUUAUAGGCUUGAAAAGUAAUUAGGUUAGUUGGUGUUGGGAUGAUGAGUAUAAUGUCUAUGAUAUUGAGAUGUAAAUUAAUGGACAGGUUGUUAAUAUAAUGCCGUCAUUCCCAAUUUUAUGGGUAGGCCAUAUUACAAA